GCGGAGGAAAAGAAAAUAACAAUGAUUUCCCUAGUAACGGCGAGUGAAGAGGAAAGAGCUCAAAGUUGGAAUCUGUUUGGCUUAGCUAAACCGAGUUGUAAACUGUAGAGGCAUUUUCCAGGUACACUAGACAAAAAAGUCCUUUGGAACAGGGCAUCAUAGAGGGUGAGAAUCCCGUCUUUGGUCUAAGUAGUUGCCUAUUGUGAUAUGUCUUCAAAGAGUCAGGUUGUUUGGGAAUGCAGCCUAAAUUGGGUGGUAAAUCUCACCUAAAGCUAAAUAUCUGCGAGAGACCGAUAGCGAACAAGUACCGUGAGGGAAAGAUGAAAAGAACUUUGAAAAGAGAGUUAAACAGUAUGUGAAAUUGUUAAAAGGGAACCGUUUGGAGCCAGACUGGCUUGAUUGUAAUCAACCUGGGAUUCGUCCCGGGUGCACUUGCAGUCUAUGCCUGCCAACAACAGUUUGAUCUGGAGGAAAAAAUUAGCCGGAAUGUAGCCUCUCUCGGGAGGUGUUAUAGCCUGUUAUCAUACUCUGGGUUGGACUGAGGAUCGCAGCGAAUGCUCUCGGGCAGGAUUGCUGGGUGCUUUCGCCAAUAAAUGUUAGAAUUUCUGCCUCGGGUGGUGCUAAUGUUCAGCGGAGAAACUCGCCUAGUAUAUCCCUUAUUCGCUUAGUUGUUGGCUUAAUGACUCUAAAUGAC
rnacentral:rRNA from 1 species